rnacentral:lncRNA from 1 species
GUUACAGGCAGGUGUAAGACGAUCAAUGGGUGGUGGCCUACUUUCACAUUAGAUUCUAUAAACUGCGCUUUGUACUAAAACAGCAGAAGCGUGGCAAUUCAUAGCACAGCGCCGCCACUGGGUUGUGGUGACCCGGCAGAUAAUGCUGUGAGGUCAGUUUUUUCAACGACGACCAUCAUACAAAACGGCCACUCUCCACAAAGACUGCCUUGGACGUACUGGAUUGCAAGCAUCUCUCAAGACUCAACAAAGAAUGCCUCGGACCUACAAGGGCUUAAAAGGGUUUCCCAAGGAUAGGAAUAGCCGCUUCUAAGGAUAGACCAGAUAACAAUGGAGGAUUGUGCCCAUUGGAAUGUGGAGCUGAGGGUGUUUUCUUGCAUGUGCACAUGGAACCCGUGUCAACAACUCUCAGCUAUAUACUGAAUCUACCACUGAGACAACCCCUGUACUCGACAAGACCACAUUGCCAGUACACAAUGAACACAUCCAACCGAUCACGUUCUUCGGAGUGUAACAAAUUACGGAAGAAUUCUGAUCAAUAUUUGUAUGUUUGAUCAUUAACCUAAGACGCUUGUAGUUGUUCGUGAAGACUUUCCUACAGCUACCAGAAGGUUACAGCAGACAUCAACACGUGGCUGAGGAAAGAUAGCUUUGAAAUAAACGUUCUCAUCCCGACCACCGAAUUGCCAGGAGAGGAUGCAUUUUCAGGAGGUUGUACAGAAAUCCCUGAUCAAUUGGAGAAGAAGAUUCUGAAACAAACUGUCGUAGAUUCGCAAGAUGAACCGACGGAAAUGAUGGAGUCGAAUAAUCAGAAAAGCAAUGGGUAUUUAGGUGCGGACAGGACGUUUAAGAUCGAGGUUCGGACAGUAAUAGAUUCGGAAAAAGGUUUGGAAAAGUCAAAAGAAGCUUCAAUUGAAACGGAGAACAAACACGACUUCCAACUUACAACACCACAACACUCUGGCGUCCGGCGUCGCGGACCUGUAAUUCCUGGAUAUGGGUCGCACCUGAUAAAGCUUGCUGUUACUUUACUUUAUGCGUUUAUAGUACUUUACCUUCUGUCUAUCUCCUAUGACAGACACCAGUGUUGUUACUACGCCAGACAUGAGUUCAGCCACGGUAUUGCCCGGGGCUUUAUGAAGUGUGGUUAUGUCAUGAUGGAGUCUGUUUUAAAAGAACUUUCAUACCGACUUGCAUAUCAGUUUGGAUUGCAUUGACAUGUCAUAUGUACUCAAUUGCAUACAUCGAUGCUCAUGCUGUUGGUUACUGGAUUGUUUAGUCCAGACUCGAUUUUUUUAUUCACUAUGGAAAUCUCACCUGUUACAAAUGUUUAUUCAUUUGCAAGCGACAAACAGGCGAUGUUUUUGACGGAAUCAAACGUACAGCUUGUCAUUGUCGUUCGGAUUUCUCUCGUGUUUAUCUUUUCGAUUUUGAAUGAUUAGUACAAUUUAUUUCUGACGUGGCCUUUUAUGAAAUAUCCUCUUAUCUUUUUGUAACCAUUAAAGAUUUGAUACCUUAUUUCAUGUCUGCAACUAUUAAUGUUUAAACUGUUAUUUUAUCACCGUUACCAACUGAGAACAAACAUAUUCCCCAGUGAGGACUGAACCAUAUAUUCCCGCAAUGAACCGCAAUCAUCCUUUGUUCAUUUCUGCGGCAUUCUUGGAAUUUCUUAAGCACGCAUCCUCCGACAGACAAGGAAAGUCCAUACUUCUCACCAUGUCUUAUCAGCAAACAGAUGCUUUAUCGGAAAUAUGUUUGAGUAUAUUAAAAGAUAAUAUUCGUC